AAGCACCUUUAGCCGAGUUUGAAGCGGUAGAUCAGAUUUUUCAAAAGUACCUAUUUUUGUUGGACCAAGUCCAUUUGAUCUGUAGAUCAAGUGCUUCAUUUCAAAUUAUAAGGUUCAAUCUGGAGAUCGAAUGUCUCACAUCAUCUUGAGAGAUCUAAUCUGAAGAUCGGAUGUCUCACAUCAUUUGGUGAGAUCCAAUCCAAAAAUUGGAUAUCCCACAUCAUUUGGUGAGGUCCAAUCCAG
rnacentral:lncRNA from 1 species